rnacentral:rRNA from 1 species
AGAGUUUGAUUCUGGCUCAGAACGAACGCUGGCAGCGUGGAUUAGGCAUGCAAGUCGAACGAAAUCCAAGGCAUCCAAGUAGCAAUAUGAGGAUGUCUUGGUGACAGUGGCGAAAGGGUUAGGAACGCGUGGGCAAUCUGCCUUUAAGUUGGGGAUAACCAGUCGAAAGGCUGGCUAAUACCGAAUGUGAAACUCCGGUGAUGCCGGAGUCUUUAAAGAUGGGGAUCUUCGGACCUGUCGCUUGAAGAGGAGCCCGCGUCCUAUCAGCUUGUUGGUGAGGUAACGGCCCACCAAGGCUUACGGGUAGCUGGUCUGAGAGGAUGGUCAGCCACACUGGGACUGAGACACUGCCCAGACUCCUACGGGAGGCUGCAGUCGAGGAUCAUUCGCAAUGGGCGCAAGCCUGACGAUGCGACGCUGCGUGGAGGAUGAAGGCCUUCGGGUCAUAAACACCUGUCAUUCGGGAACAAGAUACUGUCGUUAAUAUCGACGGGAUGAGAUAGUACCGGAAGAGGAAGCCACGGCUAACUCUGUGCCAGCCGCGGUAAUACAGAGGUGGCGAGCGUUGUUCGGAUUUACUGGGCGUAAAGGGUGCGUAGGUGGUUUGGUGUGUCGGAUGUGAAAUCCCACUGCUUAACGGUGGAACGGCAUUCGAAACUACUAGACUGGAGUGCAGGAGAGGAGAGCGGAAUUCUCGGUGUAGCGGUGGAAUGCGUUGAUAUCGAGAAGAACACCGGUGGCGAAGGCGGCUCUCUGGAAUGCAACUGACACUGAGGCACGAAAGCGUGGGGAGCAAACAGGAUUAGAUACCCUGGUAGUCCACGCCCUAAACGGUGCACACUUGGUGUGGGGAGAUUUGACCCUCUCCGUGCCGGAGCUAACGCGUUAAGUGUGCCGCCUGGGGAGUACGGUCGCAAGAUUAAAACUCAAAGAAAUUGACGGGGGCCCGCACAAGCGGAGGAGCAUGUGGCUUAAUUCGAUGCAACGCGAAGAACCUUACCAGGGCUUGACAUGCAGCUGCACGUCCCGUGAAAGCGGGAUUCCUUCGAGGGUGCUGCACAGGUGCUGCAUGGCUGUCGUCGGUUCGUGCCGUGAGGUGUUAGGUUAAGUCCUGCAACGAACGCAACCCCUGUGUCUAGCUGCUACCGCGGUGAUGAACCGGCGAGCACUCUAGACAGACUGCCCGUGAUAAGCGGGAGGAAGGUGGGGAUGACGUCAAGUCAGUAUGGCCUUUAUGUCCUGGGCUGCACGUGCUACAAUGAUCGGUACAGAGGGAAGCAAGACCGCAAGGUGGAGCAAAUCCCAGAAAACCGACCUCAGUUCGGAUUGAAGUCUGCAACUCGACUUCAUGAAGUUGGAUUCGCUAGUAAUGGCGCAUCAGCUACGGCGCCGUGAAUACGUUCCCGGGCCUUGUACACACCGCCCGUCACAUCAUGAAAGCCGUCUGCACCCGAUGUCGCUGUACCUACCCGCAAGGGAGGAAGGUGCCUAAGGUGUGGGUGGUGAUUGGGAUGAAGUCGUAACAAGGUA